rnacentral:rRNA from 1 species
UACGGAAUGUGCAAACGUUAUUCGGAAUCACUGGGCUUAAAGAGUCCGUAGGCGGCAUGUUAGGUGAGGUGUGAAAUCCCACGGCCCAACCGUGGAAUUGCGCUUCAAACCGGCGUGCUUGAGGAAGAUAGAGGUGGGCGGAACUGAUGGUGGAGCGGUGAAAUGCGUUGAUAUCAUCAGGAACACCGGAGGCGAAAGCGGUCCACUGGGUCCUUUCUGACGCUGAGGGACGAAAGCUAGGGGAGCGAACGGG